rnacentral:rRNA from 1 species
CAGCCGCCGCGGGAAUACCGAGGAUGCAAGCGUUAUCCGGAAUGAUUGGGCGUAAAGCGUCUGUAGGUGGCUUUUCAAGUCCGCCGUCAAAUCCCAGGGCUCAACCCUGGACAGGCGGUGGAAACUACCAAGCUGGAGCACGGUAGGGGCAGAGGGAAUUUCCGGUGGAGCGGUGAAAUGCGCUGAGAUCGGAAAGAACACCAACGGCGAAAGCACUCUGCUGGGCCGACACUGACACUGAGAGACGAAAGCUAGGGGAGCAAAUGGGAUUAGAUACCCCCGUAGUCCCUGUCUCUUAUAU